GCAAACAGACUUCAGGUGGCAGACGAGCCGCUGGGUGCAGCAUGAGCAGGGGCUCCCAGCAGAACAGGGCAGGCAUCCACUGGAGGGGUUAAGACCUCGAGCACUGGCAUAUGAAAGCUCAGGGGUCCAAACUCGGCUCUGCCAAAAACCAGUCUUAAGACUUUGGGCAAGUUACUUAAUCUUUUACAACCUCAGUUCCCAAACCACAAAAUGAGCCUAGCAAUAAUGUCUCAUCAUGAUACAUUUUAAGAUUAAAUGAGCCAAAGCCUGUAAGAACCUGGUGCUUGGGAAAUGCAAAGCCACACAGCUGCUGGUGGGCAUGCAUCGCUUGGGCAUCCUAUAAUCUGUCUCGCCCACUAGACUGAACUACUCGAGGGCAGGAACUCAGGCGACCAAGACAGGGCCUGGCCUGUCGUAGAUACUUAUCAGUUAUUUGUUGAAUACAUGUCAGAUGAGGCUGAGUGGAAAUGACACUUACUGUUGUCAUGUUAGUAGUAUUGGUUUAUCUUCCUGUCUCCUUAACUAGACUGAAGUCCCGGAGAACACAGAUGAGCUUUAUUCUUCCAUGUAUUCCCAGUGCCUAGCACACUCUCAACCUCUCUGAGUCUCUGUUUCCCCCAUUUAUUCCCCCUAUUUAGAAAUAAAAGCCCUACUUGGCAGCGUUUCUGAAGGUAACAUGAGUCAAUACAUGUGAAACACUGCACGGUGCCUUGCCUUCUUAAAAGCCCCAUGAUGGCAACUGUGAUCAUAGUGACUACAUAAAGGUUUCUGACCCAGUAUCCAGGGCUUGCAGGUAAGCUUCCACACACUCCCAGGGUGUGGCCAUUGGAGCUGAUUCAUGGACGAGCUUGGAGACCCCCUACGAUUUACUAAAUGCCAACCUCUUAUACACCAGGACCUGCGUGGGCUCCUUUAAGUGGCAGGAGCCCUCUCCCAUGGGCAUACCAAGGCCAUCGUCUCCUGGGACGGGAGUACCUCGGGAAGAAGUUUGAACUCUCCUCCAGUUCCACUGACUUGAGAAUGACCUGACACUGACAUGGGGAUGUGAUGCUGGAAGCUGCAGCUGCCCCAUUGCAACCAUGAGGGGGUGAGCCAAGACCACACCAAUGUGCAAAGGAUCAGAAAGAUGGAAGGGAUAUUCUGGAACUUUCAUGGCUCAGAGUUCUUGUAAUGUGGGAGAAUAAAUGAACUCACUGCUUAAACCACUUCUAGGCAGGCCUUCUGUUAUU
rnacentral:lncRNA from 1 species